rnacentral:rRNA from 1 species
GACGAACGCUGGCGGCGUGCUUAACACAUGCAAGUCGAACGGAAAGGCCCUGCUUUUGUGGGGUGCUCGAGUGGCGAACGGGUGAGUAACACGUGAGUAACCUGCCCUUGACUUUGGGAUAACUUCAGGAAACUGGGGCUAAUACCGUAUAGGAGCUCCUGCUGCAUGGUGGGCGUUGGAAAGUUUCGGCGGUUGGGGAUGGACUCGCGGCUUAUCAGCUUGUUGGUUGGGUAGUGGCUUACCAAGGCUUUGACUGGUAGCCGGCCUGAGAGGGUGACCGGCCACAUUGGGACUGAGAUACGGCCCAGACUCCUACGGGAGGCAGCAGUGGGGAAUAUUGCACAAUGGGCGGAAGCCUGAUGCAGCAGCGCCGCGUGCGGGAUGACGGCCUUCGGGUUGUAAACCGCUUUCGCCUGUGACGAAGCGUGAGUGACGGUAAUGGGUAAAGAAGCACCGGCUAACUACGUG